rnacentral:sRNA from 2 species
AUUUCUAAAUCGCUGAAGCAACUAAACGCGGGGGAACCAAUUUUGAUGUAUGGCAUAAGCCAUUCUUGGGGUGAAUCUCUUCCAUUUGGAGGGGUAGGGCUACUCAGGCCCGAAUCCGACAGCUAACCUCGUAAGCGUUAAGAGCAGAAAA